GUUGGGGGCGUGACACACAUGCUACACGAUAACAUCAUGAGUGUAACAAAGUCCAUUGAUACACUUCACGUACGGACGAGCAAUAAGAUUAACUUUAGAAUAUCUUAAUGCAAAUUCUAAGAAGCUAGCAAUGCAUUCCAGAUAUCUUGCAAUACGUCUGUUCAGCUCAUGUAUCUGACUUUUGUCCAUCAAUUAUGUUCCUUCAAAAUGUAUUUUAAUCAUGUAGGAAAUGGAAGUAACUUAGAAUGUAAUUAAGUGAUGAAAAA
rnacentral:lncRNA from 1 species